GUCUACAGCCAUACCACCUUGAACGCGCCCGAUCUCGUCUGAUCUUGCAAGCUAGGCAGGGUCGGGCCUGGUUAGUACUUGGAUGGGAGAGAGUCGGAUCGGUGAGGGGA
ensembl:rRNA 5S_rRNA 5S ribosomal RNA